GUUGUAACAUCUGUUCCCGAACGAUCACCAACGUUAAGCAUGAUCGGACCUAGUCAUUAAUUAGAUGGGUGACUAUUUGGGAAUACCAGGUGCUGUAA